rnacentral:rRNA from 1 species
GAUGAACGCUGGCGGCGUGCCUAAUACAUGCAAGUCGAGCGAACAGACGAGGAGCUUGCUCCUCUGACGUUAGCGGCGGACGGGUGAGUAACACGUGGAUAACCUACCUAUAAGACUGGGAUAACUUCGGGAAACCGGAGCUAAUACCGGAUAAUAUAUUGAACCGCAUGGUUCAAUAGUGAAAGACGGUUUUGCUGUCACUUAUAGAUGGAUCCGCGCCGCAUUAGCUAGUUGGUAAGGUAACGGCUUACCAAGGCGACGAUGCGUAGCCGACCUGAGAGGGUGAUCGGCCACGCUGGAACUGAGACGCGGUCCAGACUCCUACGGGAGGCAGCAGUAGGGAAUCUUCCGCAAUGGGCGAAAGCCUGACGGAGCAACGCCGCGUGAGUGAUGAAGGUCUUCGGAUCGUAAAACUCUGUUAUUAGGGAAGAACAAAUGUGUAAGUAACUAUGCACGUCUUGACGGUACCUAAUCAGAAAGCCACGGCUAACUACGUG